CGUCACACCAUGUACAGCCAUAAACUACCGACCGAUUUCGCAAUGAGUUUUGGUCUUUUUAAUUCGCAAAAUAAGAUGAUUAAAGAAUAUAACGGCGGUAAACACUAUAAUGAAACCAAACAGUCGGUCUUGUAAGUCGUUGCCAGCAAGAGCAGAAAAUUAAGCAAUUGCCUGCUAGCAAAUACCUUUACCUUGCUAAUAAAACACGAAAAUGUCACGUCAAUUUUUUUUACCAGACAGUUCGCCUAGUUUCCUCUCGUGUGGAGCCUUUACCUGACAAUCUUAAAAAGUGCCUAGUAUUGGUGCAAAAAAUGAUUUUUAUAGCCGCUCAAGCGUGUUAUUUGUAUGAUACUGUAAGGGUAUGAGAGGAAAGUACGUGGUCCCAACUGUUACGUAGUUUUGGCGGGACGUUGACGUAACGUUUUACCUGAGAGGACUCCAAAGGGCAUAACAACGGGCAUUUGAUCAAGGUCUUCGAUUAGAUGUCCGCUUAACAUGUCAGAGCCCAACUCCUUUUGUAACACUAGAGAGGAUCCAGGGAGCCUCCCACUGAAAAGACACUUGGUUCUGAUUGAUUGAUUGGCUGCGGGAGAGGGAGAGAACAUCGACACUGGGGCUUCCACAGCUCUGAGGUGUGUCUGAAGGGAAAACAAAUGACGCCAUUUUGAUGCACUGGAAGAAAGCGGUUUUCAGCAGCCUUGGCCGUCUGUUUGUUGACACUUCUGGCCAGCUCCUAAAGCAGACAAACACCCUGGCCCACGGAAUCGAAGAGGAGAUUAAAUACAGCGCUCGCACAACAUAGGACCUCUGACCUCACCCGACGCAAACAUGCGAGAAGAUGUGGUUUAAAUAGACAGCAGGUGGCAGUGUUAUUGCCGGCCAACUCACUGCAUGGAGGGAUUACAUUCAGCUAGCCUUGGAGAAAGUGGCGACCGAGGAGGUACCAGGGUGGAGGGGCGAGGAGUUGGCAUUGCCAUGUCUGUGAGAAGUGUGCUCGUGGCCAUGUACCCCGUGACCGUGCUCCUCCACAUCCCAGCGGUCCGGACAGCGACGACGUGAGUUCAUGAAGAAGUUGGAGACAGUGGAGAGCUCCAGACCCAGCUGAUGGGAGAUGGUGAGCUGCAUCUCCUUGGAGGGCCUGCGGUUCUCUCUGAAGAUGGCUACCAAGGUACGACGCUGCAGGUCUGUGAAGACCAGUCGCUGCUUCUUUGGCACCUGGUUGCGCUCCCGUCCUCGGUCCUCCUCCUUACGUUUACAUGCUGGAGACAGGAGAGACAGGGAAAGAGGGAAAGCAUUUUAGCCCCUCUCAAAUUCACAAUUUUUUUUUGUAAAUGCACAACAUAUCCAAAGACACAACACAGGAAAUGUUAAAGGAAAAUCA